rnacentral:rRNA from 1 species
UACGUAGGGGGCGAGCGUUGUCCGGAAUCAUUGGGCGUAAAGCGCGCGUAGGCGGCCAGAUAAGUCCGGUGUGAAAGUCACAGGCUCAACCUGUGAAUGCCGCUGGAAACUGUCUGGCUAGAGUCCGGAAGGGGCGAGUGGAAUUCCUGGUGUAGCGGUGAAAUGCGCAGAUAUCAGGAGGAACACCAAUGGCGAAGGCAGCUCGCUGGGACGGUACUGACGCUGAGGCGCGAAAGCGUGGGGAGCAAACAGG